ensembl:rRNA 5S_rRNA 5S ribosomal RNA
GCUUACGGCCAUACCUCUCUGGCUCCGCCUGAUCUCGUCUGAUCUCAGAAGCUAAGCAGAGUAGGGCCUGGUUAGUACUUGGAUGGAAGACCGCCUGGGAAUCCCAUGUGCCGUAAGCU